GAAACAAAGAGGAGGUAAAACAGGAAAGUACAAAGUACGAGGAGACAGAGGAGAGAAAAUCCACAAGGGUGUGAUUCCAGAAUCUCCCCACUCCCAUCUCCCUCCCAAACCCAGGAAUGGAUUUCCACCUCUCUUGAAUCUAUUCAUGGGAGUAUUCCAUUGGCUUCUCAAAUGGCCCAUAGCCUCAAUUAGCUUAUCUUCCUCUAAUCUUACCUCUGUUUUUCUCCAACACUUUCCCUUUCUACUAAUAACACACCAAGCUCCAAACAGCUAGGUCAUAGCUGAUGCCUCUUUCUCUUUAAUCCUAAACCUUGUGAAGUUUACCUUUUCAGUUUUUUUUUUUUUAAGGAGCAUACUCUCCUAACCCUGCCACUCUCUCUCUCCUAGACUCUCUUAAUAACCUACUACACAGACCAACCCUACUGUCUGCCUCUCAAGGUCCCCUCAACACCAAUUCAUUUGACCCACAUUUGGCCCUAGAGGAACGUCCCCAUCAGGACCAAAACACAGAAUAAGCCCUCUAAUCACAGGCAGGUGACCUUCCAUCCCCUCUGACAUGAUUUCCUACAUAGCGCCAUCGCACCUCCAUUCCUUGGUUAUCUGCUGUUCCCACAAUCUGGGCUGCCUUUCUCUUCAUUGUAUUCCUAAAUUCUAGGAAUUCUUCAAGACUUCCCUGUAAAUGCUUCCUUCUCCAGGAAGCCUUCAGCCAAAAGAACUCUUUACUUGCUAUAAAUGUCCUUCACGCUGAUCCACAUUUCUCAUCAGUUGUUUCCUAUCUUUGUGUUAUUUAUGUGCAUGUUUUAUCAUUUAUCACGUAUACUAGACCAGUGCUUCUCAGAGAUGAUUUUGACCCCAGGUGACAUUAUCACCUGGGGUCAAAAUAUCAGAAGAGGGGUUUGAUUGUCACAAUUGGAAUAGGGGAAGGAGGUGGGUCAUACUGGCAUCUGUGGUGGGUGGAAGCCAGGGAUGCUGCUAAACAUCUUGGAAAGCACAGAACAACCCCCAACAACAUAGAAACAUCAGCAGCAUGAGGGUGAGAAACUCUAUACUAGACUCAAAGCUCUUGAAGAAAGGUUAUCAUAGCCUAUUCCCUUGUGUUUCCUGUGGCUCCUAAACCAGUCUUGCUUAUGGUUAUUGCUAAGUACAUAUUUUUUACCUUAAUGAAACAAUGAGAGUUCUGGAAGAAGAUGUCCAAUCCUGAGGGAUGGAGCACAAUAUUGUUUCUCGGUAGUUUAUGGGUCCAUAUUUAUAUAGAUCUACUUCUCUGGGGGAGGAGCCAGGGCUUUCCAAUAUCUACAGGUUUUCAUCACAUGCUUAUUAUGUAUACAUAGUAUAUAUUUAAUAUAUGUAUAUAUGACAUACAUUAUUCACAUUGCAAGCCCAGGAUUUUGGUUCAGGUUUUAACACUCUCAUUUGAUGAUUACCCUUAGUCAAUGACUUAAAACUUCUAACCAUUCUUAUUUUCCUCAACUGUAAUGGAGAUAAUAAUAGAAUAUAUUCUAUAGGAUGCUAUUGCAACAGUUAAAUGAGCUAUUUCUCCCAAAGUGUGAUGAAAUAAAAAAUAAUUGUGACAGCUGGCACCAGGGUUAUAUGGAGACAAAACCAUCUUGGCGAAGAAUAUCCCAAGCUACUGGGGGUGAGGCUGGGGUGAAAGUGUUGGGAUAAUAUGAGGAAAUAGUGAAAAUGAUAAACUCUCUGCACAAGAAAUAAGCAGGGCUUGGAAGAAAGAUGGAGGAGGGAGGAGAGAGCAUGGGGAAGAAGAGAGCUGAGCAGGGCUUGAGAGCCUCAGGAGAAAGGUACCAAGAGGAAAAAAUCCCAAAGGUUGAGGAGGCCAAAGAAUUUCACAAAGGAUGUCAGAGUCUACGAUCCAUCCUUAGACGUUCUGUUUCUCUAUGAUAUAAACCCCCUCUGUUGCUACAAGCCUUGGGAAGAGCUACACGUGAACAAGUGAGUGGCUUGAGAGGGCAGUCAAGGAAAGGGCUCAAGUGCCCCCAUCUGUAUUGGUGUGAAGCAGGGUGAGAAGUGUGAGUACGACAGAGCCAGGCAGAAAUCUGAAGCCAGAGUCUCCCUUAGAAUGUGAGUACGCAGACAUUCAUAGAAACCUGAGGAAGUUCCUGGGGAUUUCCUCGAGAUGAAAGAGAGGGGUCUCAACCAAUUUUAAUGAAGUCUCAAAGAAUAACUAGUGUCUGGAGCACUCAUUCCUUCACUUAACAUUUAUUGAGCGCUUACUGUGUUCCAGGAUGUUUUGUAGGCACUGAGAUUAGUGUUGAACAGUGCAGGCUUCCUGCUCUUAUACCUUACUUUCCAAGCAGGGAACAGAAAAAAGCAGACCCAGACCAGGGAAGCCAACAAUAACCAAGUAAAGGAAAAAAUAAACAAGAUCAUUUUAGAAUGGAAGGUAUUAUAAAACAAAUUUCUUUAGGGGUGGUAUACUGAGACCUUCAGAACAGAAAUGAGGGAAGGGUGAUCAGGGAGGGCUUCACUGAGGAGGUGCUAUUCAACCCAGGACCUGAAGGACAGGAGGGAGCCAGCUAUGUGUAAAUCCCAGGACAUUCACUCCAAGUGGAGGGAUGGCAAGCACGGAGACCAUAAGCAGGAAGAGCAAAGAUCAUUAGUAAGAAACUAGUGAGAAAGAACCUGUAUUAAGUUCCUAGAGUUUAGCCCCAACAAAGUAUCACAAACUGGGUGGCUUGAAAGAACAGACAUUUAUUAUUUCACAGCUCUGGGUCAAGGAGUCUAAAACCAAGAUACCUGCAGGUUGGUUCCCUCUGAGGGCCACAAAGGAGACUCUUCUUCAGGCCUCGCCAAUCUUCCGCCUUCCUUGGCUUACAGAGUCAGCCCUCUAUGACCACGAGCCAUUCUCCCUGGGUCUCUUCAUAUAGUUCCCCUUGUUAUAAGGACACUGAGUCACACUGGAUCAGGGCCAACCCUAAUCACUUCAUUUUAACUUGAUUACCUUUGUAGCAAACUUAUCUACAAAUAAGCUCACCUCCUGAGGUGUGGUGAGGGGUGGGGGUACUGCAACAGAUCUUUUAGGGGGACACAGAUCCACCCCUAAUAGUGUGCACAGAAAGGAGGUUGGACUUUAUUCUAAGAGCCCAUGUGAAUUGCCUUGACAGUGCCUGGCACAUGGCAAAAAAAUGUUACCAAGCAUCACCAUUAUGCAGAGAAUUCCUUUAAAAUGCACAAAGUUAACAGAAUGGUCUUUUUUUAAAAUGAAAUCAGAUUGCAUCACUAUUUGGGCUGAAAUUUCUGAUAGCCUCCCUUCAAGUUCUAAGAAAUUCCAUGUCUUUACGAGGCCUAGACAAUCUGAGCCCUCUGAGAUCUCAAUCCUUGUUUCUCAUCAAAGCCGAGUCCCUGCCCAUUCCUCCCACUCCACCCUCACUGGUCUCCCUUGUCCUCAGCACCCAAGCACACCCCCUUCUCAGAGCCUCUUUGAGUUUGUGGCUUCAGCCUGGAAUUUUUAACCUCAGAUAUUAUGCCUAAGGCCGUACAGUUUUUACCUCCCCAGUCCUCAUGCAGAGAGGUUUCCUCAAACGCUCUCUAAAGUAAUGUCCCUGUCCCCCUUUUUUUUUUUUUUUUAUGGUCCACUGAAUUUUUCCUCAUAGCUUUUACAACUACUUAAACUUAUUAUACACACACAUAUCUAGAUAGAGAAUAGAGAGACGACAGAUAGAUCUGUCCUGGCCACCAGAAUGCCAGCUCCAUGAGGACAGGGAAAGGUGUAUUAGUUCCCUGAACAGUGUCUGACACCUAGUAGAUGCUUAAUAUACAUUCGUUGAAUUCAUGCAUCAGGGGUGCUGCUGAAGCCAGCAUUAAUGAGGUGGUGUUCCCAUCCUCAUUCAAGUGCAGUCUUGAUUUUUGUGUCUGGAAUCCAUAAAUUUCCCACUAUUCAUUUCAGCAGUGAACUGUCUUGGCCCCCUAUACGUUUGUCUGUGUUCAUUGCCGAGAACUUGGAGAUGCUUGCUUCAAAGGCAGAUUUUUUAUCUCGGGGACAUGGAGUUCACAGUUCUGUUUCUGUCUUAUUCUGUAUCCAUUGGUUAACAUGAUGUUGCAGUACAAUGGUUUAAGCAGGGAUGGGAGAUGAGAUGCCUUUAACAUGAAUCCUGGAAUGCCUGCAGAUGCCACCUUCUGUGUCCUGCAGGAGUGGAAGAGGUGCUUCGGCUCCAAAAGAACAAUUAAGUCAAGUGAUUACUAGGAAGCAGAAACAUUUCCCUCUAAAGAGUGGAAGUAAAUUAAACAGUAACCAAAUAGGAAACAAAUACUUAACCACACUACAAAAUGUGACUUCAGUGCACUCUGAGCCGCACAAGAAAAGCAGUUCCCCUGCUUUAGAAUCUCAUCUUCUUGUAUUCUUUUAUUUCAUGAUCCCAAAGAUUAUAAGUUGAUCUUGUACUUUACAACACUGAUUUAAAGACAGAUAUCUUUUAACUAUUUCUAAAACUCAAAUUGGUCUUUAAUAGAAGAAAAUCUACUCUACUAGCAAUAUUCAGCAGAAUAUGCUGUAAAUCCUUAAGUUAAUUCCAAAGAGAGAGUCCAGAAGUGUUUUAGAAGAGGUGUCAUUGCUGAAAUAAGUGAAUGGCUUCCUGAUGUGACCAGUCAAUUAAAUAUACACAUUUUCUUUCUUUUCUUUUUUUUUUUAGCAUUUUGUUAAGAUAAUUUUUAGAAUGUAUGCAUGUAUGUGUAACUGGGUCACCUUGCUGUACAGUAGAAAAUUGACAGAACACUGUAAAGCAGCUAUGAUGGAAAAAAUAAAAAUCAUUUUCUUGAAAAAAAGUAAUUUUAAAUUCAGGCACACUUGAUAAUAAACUUAGCCAUAUUUAGCUUGUGAUACAUUAACUUUUCCAGUAUGCAUCUGAGUUAAUUUGUAAAAGUUGUAAUGAACCAUUUUUAAUUAUUUAUGUGACAACUAUAUAUUUUGAAAGGGGAAAGAAAAUUUACCUACUUUUAGAAAUGCAUAGUGCUGGUCAAACAUUUUAAACUAUGCAAACAGUUAAAAAAUUACUAUUCUUUAACUCCAUUAAUUUUCUUAAGCGGUUUUUACUUUUAACAGAGCCCUUUUUAAAAUGUAUGUUUGUUCAAAAGACAUUCUUGAUUAAAUGCUGUAAUAAAAAACUUUUAAGAAGGAAUUGGAGGGGAAGGAGAACAAGGAGGGAAACAAAAUUUUCUGGUAACAAAGAUUUCCAAAUUCUGGUCAAUACCCUGGAAAUUUUAAAUAGUACUCACUAUGAAAAUUUUAGUAAAUCAAAUAUAUUUAUCAGGGCCUUAGAGUUUCAUGCCCAAUCUUGAUUGACAGUAGAUUGAGAUGUGUGUCUCUUUUGAGCUGUUACUAUAUUUGUAACUUGAAUUUAGUGGCCAGUAUACCCAGAGGUGCCAGUUCCUUCAAGCUAAGGCUGAUCUUUUUCCACUUAGCCUCAAUAGGCUACUUCAAAUAAAUUACCGUCUUACUCAGUUCAAAGAGGCAGAUCGGUAAUGUACUCAUGCAUUGUAAUCUCAGAAAAAGUCACAGGAGUAGCUUAUAAAUCAUAGCACCCCAGGAGAGUCAGGAAGAAAGGCUGGCUUGGAAAGUUCACUGCAUCAUAGAACGUGCUCCUUCAUUACUUUGCUGAGGCCUGUUCAGUCUUCAUUCUAUGCAACAAAGAUUUCUCAUAAUGAGCUAGUAAAUGCAUUGGCAUUUCAAGAAAAAGAUAAUUGUUAAUAGUGGAAGAGUUUCAUGCUAAGGUCAAAGGCACUUUGGUGGAAGCAGAGAACACAGAGAUUUCUACUUACUAAACAAAUCAGGGGCUCAUUCUGAAUCAUUUUGGGAGACAUAAAUUGCUCUAGAAAACUAGAGCUAGUUAGAGACCACCGACCUUGAAAUGAAACCACCCUUAGGGAAAAUGGAAAUUGAAAGGCUUAAAUAUAUUCCCUCGAAAUUCCUCAGAACUUUUCUUUAUGCCCAAGGUACUAUUGGUGGAAACAACCUUAAGAGACAAGAGCAUUGUUCUGAAAAUUACCCUUGUAUUUUUGGCACAUUGAGAAAAAGACAUACUUGUGUUCUUCCACUCCUGCCUGCCUUUUGAGCAAAGUGAACUUUGGAAAUAUCUUAUUUCCCAAUUAGCUAAAUCAUUUAAUUUUCCUAGUCUAAAAGUUAUUUAAAUUAUUGAUUCAAUGUUUCAGCAAUGUUAAAGCUUCAAAGCCAAAUUUAUUUAUUAAUCAUUUAAUACCACAUGUAUUUAUUGAGCUCCUACAGGGUACUGGAGAUACAGAAAUGAAAGACCUGUCAAGCUCCUUACUCUUAUGAAGCUUUCUUUGUAUUUGGGGAAGGGAGGGGAGGGGCUGCAAAAAUUAAUAAAUGAGAAAAUAGCAGGUGCUACAUUUACCAAGAAUCAAAAUAAGCCAGGCUGAGAGAGGACAGGAGGGUAUUCUAGAUUGACUGGUCAAGGAAGUCUUCUUGAGUUGAGCUGAGAAUUGAAUGAAAAGAAGGGAGCCAGCCAUGCAAACAUCAAGAAGACAAAGCAUUUGGCUGGAUAUAUGCCCAAGAGUGGGAUUGCUGGGUCAUAUGGUAGUUUUAGUUUUCUGAGGUACCUCCAUACUGUUUUCCACUGGGGUUGUACCAAUUUACAUUCCCACCAACAGUGUAGGAGGGUUCCCUUUUCUCCACACCCUCUCCAGCAUUUAUUUGCGGACUUAUUAAUGAUGGCUAUUCUGACUGGUGUGAGGUGGUACCUUAAUGGAUAAGCAAUGAGAUCCUGCUCUACAGCACUGGGAACUAUAUCUAGUCACUUAUGAUGGAGCAUGAUGGAGGAGAAUGUGAGAAAAAUGUGUAUAUAUGUAUGUGUGACUGGGUCACUUUGCUGUAUAAUAGAAAAUUGACAGAACACUGUAAAACCAGUGGGAAAAAAAUAAAAGUCAUUGUUAAAAAAAAAAGAAAGAAAAAAGAAAAAAA
rnacentral:lncRNA from 1 species